rnacentral:lncRNA from 1 species
CAUCAAGUGAUGAGAAAUAUAACUGCAACAAAAUGAUCGACUAUUUGUUCGUGAUUAUUGGUAUUUAAGUCUCUGAUGAUGAUGAUGAUGAACAACAUAUAAUCAAAUGUAUUACUGAGUGUUAAUUUACACUCAUUGUUUGUUAUUUUGGAGAAAUGAUGAGUAAUUAAUUGGUCCGUGUUUCUGAAUUAACCGUGACCGACAACUUUUUAACCAACUUCUGAUCUCCAUAUUCUUUUUUUUACUACUGGAGUAGUCAAGUUUUCUUUUGAUUUGUGUAAUUUUUUGUUUUUAUAUGUGCUUGCGUUAAUGAAUUAUGAAUCUAAUCACAUGUCAGACUUCAGAGAUUCUUUUAAACAAAGAAAUCAAUGAGAUUAAAGGGAAAAUUACGGCAGUAGCCG